rnacentral:tRNA from 1 species
GUGGCUGUGGCUCAGUGGUAGAGUGCUUGUCUAGCACGUGUGAGGCACUGAGUUCAAUCCUCAGCACCACA